CCUUCUGCUGCUGGGAGUGGGUCUGGAGGAGCCCUGGAGGCUCAGGCUGAGUCUGGAUCCUGCUGGAGGUGCUCGGGGGGCAGCACGUGCAGGAAUGAAUCUGUCACUCUUUCACCAACGUGGUGCUGCCAGCUUGUGCUGCUGGUGUUUGUGGGACAGAAUGGGUGAGCAGUGCUGAGCUUUGGACAGCAGGACAGGGCCUGCAUUUUCCAGGGUAAGCUGCUCUGAGAAUGAUUCGUCAUGAGGACUACUGCAGAAUGUUACAUAUGAUUUUUGUUUCUAAUUUUCUACACUCUUUAUGUGGAAAGCCAUAAUGAGAAUCUCUAUCUGAGGCAGGAUUCAUGAAGCAGCAGCAGGAAUUGUGCUCAGCCCUUUGGUAACUCCACAGGGGCUGGAGUUCCCUUGGCUUAUUGCAUCUAUUUUUGACAUGGAACCACUCAGAUGGUGAAGAGAUCAGCUGGCCACGCUCGUCCUGCACACAGAAAACGAGGAAAUGACUCUUCCCUGUGGGAAGGGAAGGAGAAAAGGCCCUGCAGAUGAGUGCAGGGGUGCGUGUGACACCCCAGAGGGUCUGAUCAGCCCUGGCUCCAUGACUCCAGAAGGCUGAUCAAUCUCUUUAUUGAACUAGACUUAUUAAUAAUCCCAUUGCCCUCACAGACAGUCUGACACAGGUGGGCCCAACUGGUCCUUGACUCCAAACCCACCACCAGUGGCCAACUGAGAAAUCACCCUUGGUACACAAAUCUCCCUAACACUUUGCACAUGUGCACAGCAACAGGGGCAACGAGUGGAGAUCAGAAUUGUUUCUCAUUCUUUCCUCUGGGUUCUCACAGCCUGCCCCAGGACCGUGCCUGGGAAUGCUGUGUUUUCUCUCUGUGGCCAGAGAGCUGCUCCACAGGUACAGGAGCUGUUCAGGCACUAAGGACAUAUGAAAUAAAUUGUAUUUUAGGAUUAAGGGGCGAAAUCUGGGGAGGCUCUGAGACAAAUCUGAGGCCCUGUGAGAGCUGCAGUUAAUUGAAGGGUCUCAGAUGUGUUUUUUUAACCGUUUGAAAUUUGUUUUCCCAGAACUGGGAUCUCUUUGGGAGAGCUGUGACUGGGGCUCACACACAUCACUUUGAAUUUGAUAUUUCAAAACGAGCUGGGCUUCCACACCCCUCUGCACGGAAUGCCAGGAAAUGUGGAUUCCUGUCAGCCUUUCAUUUGCACAGGGCUUGUCUGCGUGGUCUCCUCCUCCCAGCUCCUCCCCAGGGGACAGCUCUGGGAGUGGGGAGCCCGAGGACACGGGAUGCCCCGAGCUGAGGGGGCAGCACGUGCAGCUGUGAGUGCUGAGCCAGAUGUUCCCCAGGGCUCAGAGCCCUCCCUGCAGCCCCUGGAAAGGCCCAGAGCUGGAUGUGGCUCUGCACAGGGACCCAGCCAGCUGCAGGAGACACGGGCCAGUGAGUAAAGGUCCCUCUUAUGAACAAAGGCCAUUAGUGCUUUGCCAAGGCCUUCCCUUGAGGUGUCUAAAUCAAUUCCCUGGGACUGACAGGGCUUGCAGAGCAGCCCUGUGAGUGAGAGGGACUCAGCUCAGCUCCUUCCUUCUGGGUGUGCAGCUCCACAUUCACCUGGGCAACAAAAGUCAUUGUUCAGGUCCAAGGAAAACUUGUUGUAGCAAUUUUUCUUUUCUGGUGGCUUUGCAGGGACUGAACAUAUUCUGGAAAUCUCCAGAUCUCCAAGUGGCCUUUAAUUAAUUAAUCUUGAUAAACUGGCUGUGCCUAAUGGGGGGAUUUCCCAAAGUUCCCGGGCUUUGGGAUGGACCCUCCUGCAGUGGGAAGAGCACAGGGCUGUGGCAGGCAGCUCUGGGGGUGCCACUGUGGCAGGGGAGAGGAGGGGUCCUGGAACCACAGCACGGUUCUGGUUGGAAAGGACCCUAGAGCUCAUUGUGGUGUGGGGUUACACGCCUUUCUGAGGGGAAAAGACCCCAAGAGCUCUCUCUGUGCUUCUGCAGCCCCUGCACACACCAAACUGAAACUGCACCUUUCGUUCCUCUGCCUGGAAUUCCCCAGCAAUUCCUGCAGCUGCAGGGGCUGCCUGGGACAGACACAGCCCAGCCUUUGGUAGGGCUGUUUGCAGGCCUUGUGGUGCCAACCCACAGCUCCUGGUGACAGCUGACAGGACCCAGACUGGGGCACAGGACCCAAACUGGGGGGACUGCGUGGCCCCUGCCCAAGGGACAGGGCUGGGCACUGGUGCUCUGACAAAAGCCCACCUCCUGCCCAGACUGGCAGCCAGGCUCCCUCUUUGGGCACACAGGGGAGUCCGUGGCCCCCAGCUUUGCCAGCCUUUCCUCAGUGUGCUGCCAGGAGCAAUGACAGACUGAACAGCUGGAUGGGAACAGCUGGAUGGGAACAGCUGGAUGGGAACAGCUGGAUGGGACAGCCUGCCUUCCCCUCUGCCAGCCAGGGCUGCCUGAGGAUCAGCAGAGCCCCAGGAAUAUUCAGAGCACAGCUCAACCUCAGGCUCCUUCUUUAUUUUUGAGAGAGGAAACACCAGUAUUUGCAGGGCCACUCUCUAGUACUGUGCCUGGCCAGCCUGAUUGCUUUUCUCCCCAGCCCUCACGGGCUCUGUGCUGAGGGCAGUGCUCAGGCACUCCUGGUGCAGAUUUCAGAUAUACGAGUGUGUUUUGUUUGAAUCCCCAGGGCUGGUGUCAGCCCUGAGCCCGUGGGAGGGGAGCCAGGAGUGCCUCCAGGCUGGGGAGGGCUGGGGCACAGCCAGGGCUCAGCUGAGCUGAGCUGAGCAGUGCUGGUUGUAUUUUAACACUGUCCAAAUAUUAACUCUGCCCAGAGGAUGUGGAGGUGUUUCCUUGGCAUGGCAGCGUCCGGAGCAGACACUGCCAGACACAGCAUCUGCUUACAGCUCCUCGGAGCAGCCUGGCUCUGAGUGAGAGAACAGGGGCAGAGAACAGGCAGCACAGCCCCUGGGCCAGGGGAAGUGACAGGACAGGCUCCUGCUGCCACCCUGGGCCAGGGGAAGUGACAGAACAGGCUCCUGCUGCCACCCUGGGCCAGGGGAAGUGACAGAACAGGCUCCUGCUGCCACCCUGGGCCAGGGGAAGUGACAGGACAGGCUCCUGCUGCCACCCUGGGCCAGGGGAAGUGACAGGACAGGCUCCUGCUGCCACCCUGGGCCAGGGGAAGUGACAGGACAGGCUCCUGCUGCCACCUUGGGCCAGCAGGGCCACAGGGGCCAGGCACUGACUCAGGGCAGUGUGAGCUGGCCCUGCACCAAUCCUGCUCUGGAGCCACAUCAAACACAGCUCCCAUUGUUCCUGCUUUGCUCCAGGUGAUGAUAGAAUUUUUUGUAACGUUUUUUGAAAUCAGGCAACAAUCUACAAAAUCCUCACCGUGGACAGGGUGAGUUUUGGUGAUUUGGCUGAAGAAAGGGAGUUGAAAAGUAAACUCAAGCUCAAAUUAGAUUUAUGCUCACAUAACCUCACUUUUACAGAAGAACACACAGCCACAGGGGCUUUCUUUAGCUCUGCCCUGGAGUAGCAGCUGCUGCAGGUCUCAGGAAGUUUCCACUGAAAUGCACCCACACUCUAUGAAUACUUGCUUUUUCACCUCUACAUUUUUCUCUCUGGGGCCUUUAAGCAAGUUUUAUUGUAGUGUUUAUACAGCCAACUCACUCUGCCCUUGGUUUAUGUUUUUCUCGCCUGCAGCCACUGAAUUCUGAGGUUUAUUAGUUACAGGUAUCUGAAAUCACAUUUUUUUAGAAUUGACUGCCUAAUAAAGCCCCUUAAAAGUUUCUGUUUAAGGCAAUUGUCCUCCACCCCAGGAUCAGGUUUUUAUGAGUUUUUAUACCCAGGAUCAACAAUUUCUUUGUGGUGUUUAUUCCCAGCAGGGCAGGUAGCAGGGAUCCAUCCAUUCCACCCAACCAGCUCUGCAUCAGCCCACUGGAGAAGCACCCAGGCCAAGAGCUGCCUUUGGGACAGCUGUACAGCACAAGGCUGAUGGUUUUCUGGCCUGCAAGCAUGCAAAGCCCAGCCUGAGCAGCCCCAGGGCAAAGCCCAGCCUGGGGCUCUCUCUCACCCCCAAAGCCAGGCUCUGCAGGGAGAGAGCCCACUGCAGCUUCCCCCUCACACCAGGAAUUUCUGCCCAGUUCCAGAAGCACAGGGGUGCAGAGCUGGCUCCAGCUCCCCACACCAGCUGUGCCCCACAAAUCCCUGCUCCUAGCCCCUGACCCCGAGGACAGGGCUCCUGCACAUGGCUCCAGUGCCAAGGAAUAAAUAAAUAAAGCUCA